GUUCCAGUGCGACCCGGAACAAGGCGGACACGGCAGGAGCACCUCAUUCUUCCUCCUAGUCUUCUCCUGGAGCAGGGAGAGCCUGCCCGUGGGAUCAGCUCCCACGUUACUGAAUGGAGUUGCUCAUUUCGGCAGCGAAUGCUGAGGUGACAAAUGGCUUCUGUACAUUUGCGAAAAGGAGGGGAGGCAGCACUUCUCCUUCCUGUCACCAUGUGAAGAAGGACGUGUUUGCUUCCCCUUCUGCUAUGAUUGUAAGCUUCCUGAGGCCUCCCCAGCCCUGCAGAACUGUCAGUAUGAAAUAUAACUUAGAAUGAGUCAGACAUGUGUCUGUCUUUUGUAAAGUGGAAACAGGGUGACUGUGAAAGUUAAGUGGAAAAGUGGAACUGGCUUCACUGCCCCGCAAGCACAUUCCAGAAAUCCAAAGAAGCCACUAUGCUGAAAAUACUUUGAGUGGGUUAGAGUUUCGCUCAAGGAAGUGCUGUAGUAGAAAAUGGCCAUUUCUCUGUGCUGUGUUCAGAGUAAGAGACAUGGGUGAAAGAGUUAUCCGGAAUGGAAUGCUGAGGAGACCCUAAAGGGAAUUUCCGGGUGGAUGGCCAGCACUGUCACUCGAUGAGUGGAGGAUUGACAAACUUGCCAAAUACUGCAAGAAAAGAUGUUGCUGAUCACGGAUAGGAAAUACUCCAAGUCCCAGGAGAUAGUCUGUUCUUAGGAGACUUCCACACCAAGUCUGCUGACCAGAGAAGGACCAGUCAACCACCA
ensembl:lncRNA PDE7B-AS1 PDE7B antisense RNA 1